CAGUUCCUUAACCCUAAAGGGGGGUAAUAGGGCCUGCCUGUAAGUAAGGAUGACAUGGCAUAGGGCACUCUUAGCAUAGUGCCUGGCAAGAAGGAAGUGCUCAGAACUGGUGGCAAUCAUGGUUUUUGUAACAGAAGAGGUGGAGGGCGCAGGGCACCCUGGAAAGAACACGCACUUGGCAUCAGGAGAUCUUCACAUGACCAUUUACCAGUGAAGGCACUGACCUUUCAGCUCCAGCAAGCAGGUGCCAGACUCCCCGGCUCCCAAAGGGACAUUGUCCAUGGGAACUUAAAAAAUGAAGUCAUCAGUUUCCCAGCUUCUAGAUCCAAAAGACUCAGUCCAGGCACAGAUGGGCUGGAAGAAGUUACACUCAGAGUCCAGGUAAAGAUUCUCAGAGCUGGGGAGCUGGGGAGAGGGGUAUAAGAAAGUUAGAUAUUGAGGCAUUUUUCAGGAGGGUCACACUGCUCUUUUGCUCAGGCCAUG
rnacentral:lncRNA from 1 species